UGGUGGUUAUAGAGGGAGUGGUGCUCUAGAGGGAGUGGUGCUCUAGAGAGAAUGGUGCUUAUAGAGGGAGUGGUGCUUAUAGAGGGAGUGGUGCUUAUAGAGGGAGUGGUUCUCUAGAGAGAGUGGUGCUUAUAGAGGGAGUGGUGCUUAUAGAGGGAGUGGUGCUUUAGAGGGAGUGGUGCUUAUAGAGGGAGUGGUGCUUAUAGAGGGAGUGGUGCUUAUAGAGGGAGUGGUGCUCUAGAGGGAGUGGUGCUUAUAGAGGGAGUGGUGCUUAUAGAGCGAGUGGU
ensembl:lncRNA